GUAACACGUGGGUAACCUGCCUGUAAGACUGGGAUAACUCCGGGAAACCGGGGCUAAUACCGGAUGCUUGUUUGAACCGCAUGGUUCAAACAUAAAAGGUGGCUUCGGCUACCACUUACAGAUGGACCCGCGGCGCAUUAGCUAGUUGGUGAGGUAAUGGCUCACCAAGGCAACGAUGCGUAGCCGACCUGAGAGGGUGAUCGGCCACACUGGGACUGAGACACGGCCCAGACUCCUACGGGAGGCAGCAGUAGGGAAUCUUCCGCAAUGGACGAAAGUCUGACGGAGCAACGCCGCGUGAGUGAUGAAGGUUUUCGGAUCGUAAAGCUCUGUUGUUAGGGAAGAACAAGUACCGUUCGAAUAGGGCGGUACCUUGACGGUACCUAACCAGAAAGCCACGGCUAACUA
rnacentral:rRNA from 1 species